rnacentral:lncRNA from 1 species
AAAAAAACACGAGUCUGAUGCAAAAAGAUGAAAAAAAAAGGUAAAAAAUAAUGAAGCAACCCAAUAACAGAUGGAAACUCAUUUCCACAACUAAACAAACUCUCCACGUAAACCCAUCAUGAAUCUAGCCCAUGAAAUACCCAAACCCCCUAAAACACACAGCACACCACACGCACCCAAAAAAAAGCAAGUCGAAAAAAGAUCCAGUUGGAGAAAACAUCCAAAAAUAAAAAUCAAGCUAUUGAAAUCUACGGCACGUCAUCAGCAGAUGGUUGCAGCUAAUUCUUCUAGCAGCGAGGAGG